ACCCGCACAAGCGGUGGAUCAUGUUGUUUAAUUCGACGAUACGCGAAGAACCUUACCAGGUCUUGACAUCCCCUGCAAAGCUAUGGAGACAUAGUGGAGGUUAUCAGGGAGACAGGUGGUGCAUGGUUGUCGUCAGCUCGUGUCGUGAGAUGUUGGGUUAAGUCCCGCAACGAGCGCAACCCUUAUUGCUAGUUACCAUCAUUAAGUUGGGGACUCUAGCGAGACUGCCAGUGAUAAACUGGAGGAAGGUGGGGAUGACGUCAAAUCAUCAUGCCCCUUAUGACCUGGGCUACAAACGUGAUACAAUGGCUGAACAAAGGGCAGCGAAGGAGCGAUCCUGGAGCGAACCCAAAAAGCAGUCUCAGUUCGGAUUGAAGUCUGCAACUCGACUUCAUGAAGUCGGAAUCGCUAGUAAUCGCGGAUCAGAACGCCGCGGUGAAUACGUUCUCGGGGUUU
rnacentral:rRNA from 1 species